UCAAAUUCUCGUUUUUGUGUAGACGACUGGGCUCUUCCUCCUUUGCAUUUUUCCCCAGCUCGCUCAAUUCCCAGAGAAAAUCUCGUCGGGAAUGCCCUACAUACAGGAUUCACAGUUCGCAGUGAUCGGAUCCAAUCACUAUCUGGAUUACCUGUUUCGUGCUCCGCCGCCGCCUUGGUGUUGCCCUGGGCAUAGCCCCGCCAUUGAAAGAUGCGCUGCUCCAAGCCCCUGGCGCCAUUGUUGGUGGCGCCGCUGGGGUCUGGCCGGCGCUCCCGUUUGACUACAACUUAUAUUCCAAGUGGAGGAACUUUGAAAUUGCUAAAUGGGAGAGUUUCCCCCUCAAGGAGCUUGUAGAACGAUCUCUAGUUUUCUGCAAUUAAGGGUAGAUCCAUGCCACUGUUGUUGAGACCUCGCAACCGUUGACACUACUU
rnacentral:lncRNA from 1 species